ensembl:snRNA U1 U1 spliceosomal RNA
AUACUUCCCUGGCAGUGGAGAGACCAUGAUCAUGAAGGUGGUUUUCCCAGGGCGAGGCUUAUCUAUUGCACCCUUGUGAUUCCCCCAGAUGUGAGAAAUUCUACUGCAUAAUUUGUGGUCAUGGGCGACUGCAUUUGUGCUCUCCCCUG